UACGGGGGGGGUAAGCGUUGUUCGGAAUUACUGGGCGUAAAGGGCUCGUAGGCGGCCAACUAAGUCAGACGUGAAAUCCCUCAGCUUAACUGGGGAACUGCGUCUGAUACUGGAUGGCUUGGAUUUGGGAGAGGAAUGCGGAAUUCCAGGUGUAGCGGUGAAAUGCGUAGAUAUCUGGAGGAACACCGGUGGCGAAGGCGGCAUUCUGGACCAAUAUUGACGCUGAGGAGCGAAAGCCAGGGGA
rnacentral:rRNA from 1 species